AUUGAACGCUGGCGGCAGGCCUAACACAUGCAAGUCGAACGAGUGGCGGACGGGUGAGUAAUGUCUGGGAAACUGCCUGAUGGAGGGGGAUAACUACUGGAAACGGUAGCUAAUACCGCAUACCAUCGGAUGUGCCCAGAUGGGAUUAGCUAGUAGGUGGGGUAAAGGCUCACCUAGGCGACGAUCCCUAGCUGGUCUGAGAGGAUGACCGGCCACACGGGAAUUGAGACACGGUCCAGACUCCUACGGGAGGCAGCAGUGGGGAAUAUUGUACAAUGGGCGCAAGCCUGAUGCAGCCAUGCCGCGUGUAUGAAGAAGGCCUUCGGGUUGUAAAGUACUUUCAGCGGGGAGGCGUUACCCGCAGAAGAAGCACCGGCUAACUACGUGCCAGCCGCCGCGGUAAUAC
rnacentral:rRNA from 1 species